GCACUAUUGAAUCCUUCAGAGAAGAAACUCUACAGAGAUGUCAUGUGUGAAAACUUGAGGAACUUUCUUUCCAUAGAUGGCGCAGUGGAUAAAAUAUUGGAUUCUCGACCAUGAGGUCUUGAG